UGGGGAAUUUUGCACAAUGGGGGAAACCCUGAUGCAGCGACGCCGCGUGAUUUAGAAGGCCUUCGGGUUGUAAAAAUCUUUUCUAUGGGAAGAAAAUGACAGUACCAUAGGAAUAAGGACCGGCUAAUUACGUGCAAGCAGCCGCGGUAAUACGUAAGGUCCGAGCGUUGUACGGAAUCAUUGGGCGUAAAGGGUACGUAGGCGGGUAAGCAAGUUAGAAGUGAAAUCCUAUAGCUCAACUAUAGUAAGCUUUUAAAACUGCUCAUCUUGAGGUAUGGAAGGGAAAGUGGAAUUCCUAGUGUAGCGGUGAAAUGCGCAGAUAUUAGGAGGAAUACCGGUGGCGAAGGCGACUUUCUGGCCAUAACCUGACGCUGAGGUACGAAAGCGUGGGUAGCAAACAGG
rnacentral:rRNA from 1 species